CCUACCUUAUACUGGGGAAUAACUUCGAGAAAUCGGCGCUAAUACCCCAUAACAUUGCGAAGAGGCAUCUCUUUGCACUUAAAGCUCCGGCGGUAUAAGAUGGGCAUGCGUCCAAUUAGCUAGUUGGUGAGGUAAUGGCUCACCAAGGCUACGAUUGGUAGGGGUUCUGAGAGGAUGAUCCCCCACACUGGUACUGAGACACGGACCAGACUCCUACGGGAGGCAGCAGUGAGGAAUAUUGCGCAAUGGACGAAAGUCUGACGCAGCCAUGCCGCGUGCAGGAUGACGGCCCUAUGGGUUGUAAACUGCUUUUGUAUGGGAAUAAACCCUUCUACGUGUAGAAGGCUGAAGGUACCAUAAGAAUAAGCACCGGCUAACUCCGUGCCAGCAGCCGCGGUAAUACGGAGGGUGCAAGCGUUAUCCGGAUUUAUUGGGUUUAAAGGGUCCGUAGGCGGGCCGAUAAGUCAGUGGUGAAAGCCCAUAGCUCAACUAUGGAACUGCCAUUGAUACUGUCGGUCUUGAGUAUAUGUGAUGUUGGCGGAAUGUGUAGUGUAGCGGUGAAAUGCUUAGAUAUUACACAGAACACCGAUUGCGAAGGCAGCUGACAAAUAUAUAACUGACGCUGAGGGACGAAAGUGUGGGGAUCAAACAGGAUUAGAUACCCUGGUAGUCCACACCGUAAACGAUGAUUACUAGAUUUUGGCCUUAUGGUCAGAGUCCAAGCGAAAGUGUUAAGUAAUCCACCUGGGGAGUACGUCCGC
rnacentral:rRNA from 1 species